rnacentral:rRNA from 1 species
AACGAACGCUGGCGGCAUGCCUAACACAUGCAAGUCGAACGCCCCGCAAGGGGAGUGGCGAACGGGUGAGUAACGCGUGGGAACCUACCCAGCAGUUGGGGAUAACCGCGGGAAACUGCGGCUAAUACCGAAUACGUCCUUUGGGAGUAAGAUUUAUCGCUGUUGGAGGGGCCCGCGUCGGAUUAGCUAGUUGGUGAGGUAACGGCCCACCAAGGCGACGAUCCGUAGCUGGUCUGAGAGGAUGAUCAGCCACACCGGGACUUAGACACGGCCCAGACUCCUACGGGAGGCAGCAGUGGGGAAUAUUGGACAAUGGGGGCAACCCUGAUCCAGCAAUGCCGCGUGAGUGAUGAAGGCCUUAGGGUUGUAAAGCUCUUUUACCGGGGACGAUGAUGACGGUACCCGGAGAAUAAGCCCCGGCUAACUUCGUGCCAGCCGCCGCUGUAAAAC